rnacentral:misc_RNA from 1 species
UUUUUUUUUUUUGAGUAAACUCUUCAAUUAUAUAGAAAAUGACAUAACAGGUACAAGGUGAUGAUUGACAUCGAGGUAUUGGUUUUGCACUCUAUAGUUCGAAUAAUUCUAGGAUCUUAUUCCUAAUUUUCUAAAUUAAGCCAUCUUUGAUCCAAGCUCGUGUGAUCUUGAAAUUUCCGUAUGUACAAUGAUCAAUUGACGAGGAAGCAUAAUGAAGAAUUAGUCAUACUCACUUCCAAACAACUGGGUGUGAAAAAUCAUGGAAUCUGAAGGAGACUUCUCCAGCUGUGUCACGCUCAAGCCUAAUCUCUGGCACAUCCCUAAUCACUCCACCCUCAUCAAGGACUUCAGGUGGCAUAGGAAGUAUUUGAUUCUCACUAGGAUGGCGUGCCAAUUGAAUUUCAGGUGGCAAUGACAUGAUGGGAGGGGAGAUAGACCUAAGCCUAGCACUGCCUGUACUUGGAGUAGCCAAUGUUCGGUCCCAUAAGAAAACAUGAAUCAGUAUAGGCGUCUUGGCAUGCCGAUGGAGCGAAAGUUUUUGGCUUAGCGAAACAGUAUCAUAACAACGUAUUGCUCCUGUUGAAGAAACCAUCCAAGGAAGGACCUUCUGGUUUGACACUCUGGAAACAACCAGCAAUCUUGAUGCACUCUUAGCUUCUUUGUACAGAUUGUUGAGCCCUGACCUUGUUGAGGGUACAUUUUCAUUACCAUCAAUAACUGAUGAAAUGUAGAUAAAUCCCUCUUCUGUGCGACUAAUAGCAAACCCAAGCUUUGAAUCACCUUCUUUUAUUUUCAUCUCUAUUGCAAACUCUCCGCAUAGAGGUGCAUACCAGAGACGGACUGCCCUAACGACACCAAUAUCAACCCCAUGGUAAUCCUCAAAACCAUACAAGCUUACAUGUGCUAUAUUAGACAAAUCAGAUAAUGACCCAGUAUUCACGGUAGAAGAUGCUGUCUCUCCAGAUAUCUUUGUAAGCAGGGACUCUGUCUGAAUAUUCAUGAAAACAGUAGGGACCCCAGAGGCCUGAGAUGCAUACAGCCACGUAUUUGCCCUUGCAAGAGUGUCAUCCAGGUCAUUGUACCGGGAAGCAACUCGAUCUGAAACUUUAGGAAGGAAAAGUAUAGAAAGAAAGCAGCUUGAAUUGGGAAUAGGUAGCACCUCCUGCAUCCUCCUCAUCCAUGGAUACGAGACAUAUCCAUCUUGAAGUGUAGCCCUGGAUAGUGCACUAGCAAUUCUUGAGCUUCUUGAAUCUUGCAAUUCGAAGCAGUCCGCCUCGGAUCGAUCUGAGAACCCGACUGCAUAAUUCGGAUCCGUAAUAGACCUUAAAAUGUACUGCUUUUUAGACCCCGACUCAGGCACGAUGCACGCCUGCAACUCGGCGAACUCGUCCCGGCCUCGCCUAACUCGAACGAGAAUAGAAGUCUCUUUAUUCUUAAAUGAGGCGUGAAGAAUCUUUUGGAUCCCGCUCUUUCCGUUCUUGAACGGAGCCUUAAACGAUUGAGACGACCUGGUUCCUGAAGACGAACCUGACCCUAUCCUGAUUUCUUCAACUAUAUCGCCGGUCUGGAGCAUGUCACCGGUCCAUUCGUCGGCUUUGGAGCUACCUUUGAGGCACUCGAUAGAAAGGACUAUGAGAGGUUUGGGGUCUCUGGAAGGGGUUUCUGGUGGCGAAGUUCGGUCCAUGGUCAUUUUUGGUCCGGUUUUCAACGAUUAGUCCCUUGAUGGUAUGCUCAUGUUGUUUCGAUUCUGGUUAAUCCCGCAACCAAAUAGGUAACGGAGGUAGAGAGAGGGAGAGAAUCAGUUCAAAAGUAAUACGAAGAUCCGAGAAUCAAGAGAGAUGAAUCAGAAUGCUUAAAGAAAGAGGGUUUAAGCUAGAGUGAAGGGAGAUAAGCCAAUUUCAAGGAAGCUACUGCAUAUAAAGAAAUUUCCAAAUUCUAAAUUGGCAUGCAAAUGGAGAUGGGUCUUGUUUUGUCAAGC